GGCCGCAUCGCUUAAUGGCAAGGCGCUUGACUUCGAAUCAAGAGAUUGCAGGUCCGAUCCCUGCCGCGAUCA